rnacentral:rRNA from 1 species
AGUGAACGCUGGCGGUAGGCCUAACACAUGCAAGUCGAACGGCAGCACAGUAAGAGCUUGCUCUUACGGGUGGCGAGUGGCGGACGGGUGAGGAAUACAUCGGACUCUACUUUUUGGUGGGGAUAACGUAGGGAAACUUACGCUAAUACCGCAUACGACCUCCGGGUGAAAGCAGGGGAUCUUCGGACCUUGCGCGAUUGAAUGAGCCGAUGUCGGAUUGGCUAGUUGGCGGGGUAAAGGCCCACCAAGGCGACGAUCCGUAGCUGGUCUGAGAGGAUGAGCAGCCACACUGGAACUGAGACACGGUCCAGACUCCUACGGGAGGCAGCAGUGGGGAAUAUUGGACAAUGGGCGCAAGCCUGAUCCAGCCAUACCGCGUGGGUGAAGAAGGCCUUCGGGUUGUAAAGCCCUUUUGUUGGGAAAGAAAAGCAGCAGGUUAAUACCCCGCUGUUCUGACGGUACCCAAAGAAUAAGCACCGGCUAACUUCGUG